rnacentral:rRNA from 1 species
UGGAGGCAGCAGUGGGGAAUUUUGCACAAUGGACGAAAGUCUGAUGCAGCAACGCUGCGUGAAGGAUGAAGGUUUUCGGAUCGUAAACUUCUUUUAUCUAGGAAUAAUCUUGAAGGUACUAGAUGAAUAAGCGCCGGCUAACUACGUGCCAGCAGCCGCGGUAAUACGUAGGGCGCGAGCGUUACCCGGAUUUACUGGGCGUAAAGAGCUCGUAGGCGGAUUUACAAGUUGGAUAUGAAAGACCCCGGCUCAACUGGGGGAACGUAUCCAAAACUGUAAGUCUAGAGAUGUGCAGGGGAGGAUAGAACUUGUGGUGGAGCGGUGAAAUGCGUUGAUAUCACAAGGAAUGCCAAUGGUGAAGACAUUUCUCUGGGCACAAUCUGACGCUGAGGAGCGAAAGCGUGGGGAGCGAUCGGGAUUAGAUACCCGUGUAGUCCC